UAUAUUAAUUUAUGUAAUUUGUAAUCAGACACUUUAGUUUAUUUUAUUAUUUUUUAUCUAAGCACAAUAUAUCUGAAAUUAUACAUAAUCUUCAUAAAAUAUAUUUACAUAUUUAAGACAACAACCACCUAAAUGCAAAUAAGAAAUUAAUCAAAAUUUUAAUAUAUUUAGAAUAAAAAAAUAUUAUAGUUGAAUUCAGAGAUGCAAUCCAAAUUACGCAAAUGAUAACUAAAUUGAUUGUAAAAACAACAAAAUCGAUUAAAUAUAACAUAUAUAAAAUCAUAUGUAUUAUUAAAAUAAUAUAAUAUUAUAAAUAUAAAUGAUGCAUAUAAAUUAUAAAUUAAUUUAAAAUUAAAAGUAAAUAGCAAUCAAUUAUUAUAGUAUAUUUACUUCAAAAACAUUUAUACAUGCACAGGAAAAUUACCUAGUAAACAUAUAAACAACAAACACACACAGAUCCUAGAUUCUUAAUCACCAUUUGUGUUAAUCCACGACUUGAUAUGAUUAACUCAUAUAUAUAUAUAUAUCUCCUUCCGUCCUUCGGAGUCAUUUUUAAAAGGAAAAACUUUAAUAUAUUCGUAACCGUAAGUAUAUAUAUUGUAACACGCUAUUUCCUUCAUGUGGCUAUCGUUUCUUUGAUUUUGGAUUAAUUAAUUUUUGUUUUAUCUCUUGGCUUUACGAAAUUUAUAAGGUUCUAUACUUCUCUAUGCCGUCUUCAACCGCAGAGCUGCUCGUGAACCUUUAUCCCUCGUUGUGUCUAUUGGCAACCCCGUGAACUCCAUGCAACGUCAACGCAAAUUACUUUAAUGUCCUUCCCUUCCAUUGUCUAUUUUAUAAUUUGUUUUGCAUUUUUAUAUAUUUUCAAGGUCUCCUAAAUGGCUAAAUCCUAAUACUAUUUUCGUUUUGUUGUACUAAUUUCCUAAGCCAGACAACAUAAAAAAACAAUUAUAACUAACAUUUUGGUAUUUAUAAUGUUAUACUUCCAAACUGUAAAUUAUUUAGUUUCAUAUUCUAUAUAUAUGAAAUAGAAGAGAGAUCAUGGGUAUUUACUGUUAUGUUGCUUCAUAAAUUCAUAGAGACAAAUUUUCUCUCUUUUCCCAUCCUCUUCUCCAACACAUUUUGUUCUCAUUACACUGUCCAAUCAUCGUUUGACAUUCAAUUGUAGACCCAUAUAUUUUGAUAUUAUACGGUAUAUUCAGAUUAAAUACAAAUGUCAGUUAUUAUAUCACAUGUAUAUUUUUUUGUUGAACCAUAGAAGCAGCCAAUGAUUCUCGAGGAGUAUUAUUUCCCGCCCAGACUAACCGUUUACCCCAGCCGUUCGUUCCUAUAUAUGAGGCACAAUAUAUUUUCUAUACAAUUUAUUUAAAAUAGUUUACUGUAUUUAUUAUAAUAUUAUAAUAUAUAUACUUAGAAGAAGCAUUUGUACUAAACUCCAAAUUGAAAUUUACACUACAAAACUGAACAAAUUGGAAAAAUAUAAAAAAUUUAAUAAAAUUCAAGGAAACUUGAAAUGACAAAAGAAAAAGAGAGAACAAAAAGUAAUUUUGACACGUUAAUAAAAAGGAAAAAUAAAAAAAAAAAUCAUAGGGAUUGGACAAAAGUAAAAAACAAAUGAAAAAAAAUAGUUAAAUGCGAAAGUGUGGGCCAAUAUUAACUUUAUUUAAAUCAUAUUGUGAUGGUCUACUAGUUUGCAAUGGAUGAAGAAUCGCCGUAUUGAUCUAGGUCAGAAAUUGAUUAUUUUUUAGUGCGAAAUUGCUAAUUCUUCGUGUGGUUAGGUGGUGUGUGUCUCUGACUUGUAUGUAGAGCAAUCAAUUUUGCCCAAUCAUUGGUGGAUAGGCCUCCAGGGGAUUAGUCGGUUGGGUCUUCUCCUGUCAUACACCCUUGGUUAAUUAAAAAAAAACACUAACCUUAUUUAAUCAAACAUGCUAAAUUCACAUAAUCCGAAUUGUGUUACACUCAGUUAAUGUGGGGGGCAGGUGCAUGUAGAUCACCAUCACCAAGGGUGAAUACAAUUUUGUUACAGCAGACCCAUAUAUAGCUUAAAGAGUAGGAAAAGCCCACCAUAGACAUAGAGUGAAAAAGAAGCCCAUAACAUAUGGCUCGUUUAGUAAAAGAGGAGAAGGAAAUACUCGGCCCAUUAACGUACCAAACCCUAUAAAUAGGGUUUUAAAUCUCACUGAUUUGUCCGACGAAGCUACGCCAUGACGAGGGUUGAGCUGAAAGAACGAAUCGAUCUCACUGAGAAGGAACAGCGAAUAUUCAACCUGCUCCUCGAUGCCCUCCGCGAAAAUAACUGCGACACACGACUUCGCCUCGCAGGUGGUUGGGUACGCGAUAAGGUACUCUUACCCUCAUUCACUUCCCUAACGUUUCCUCAAUGCCUUAUGGGUACGAUGAUGCCAUCUACGAGCACUCUUUGACUUCCCUUUGCAGCUUCUAGGGAAAGACUCUGAAGAUAUUGACAUUGCCAUUGACAACAUGACAGGAAGUGAAUUUCUUGUAAAGUUCAAAAACUAUUUUUCUAAAGUAGAAAAAAAAUUGAACAUCCAUAUUAUUAAAAGGUAGUAUACGUGAAGUUCCUUGCUGUAAUCUGAUUCUCGGACAAGAUUUCUCAACAUGUCAUCAGGGCAUGUUUUGCAGUAACCCUGAUAACUGCAAACAUUUGGAGACCCGGAAGAUGCGUCUGUAUAACCAGUGGAUAGAUUUUGCACAGUUGAGAAAGGAAGAACCUGACGAGAAUAGUCGUAUUCCUAAAAAAGUGGAAUUUGGAACACCAGAAGAGGAUGCUUUUAGGAGAGACUUAACUAUUAAUAGCUUAUUCUACAACAUCCACACUGGCUUAGUAGAAGAUUUUACAGGAAGAGGUUAGUUUCUGCAUCUUAGUGUCUCCUUUUGUGUUCAAACUAGUAGUUUUUACGAGGAAUGAUGCAAUGGCAGGCAGGCAUUGA